GGUAGGUGCGCACUGCACGACCGUCGCCGCCGUCGUUUCGUGCCGCAGGAAAUGACGCUCGUCAAUCAUACCCUGUGUCACACGCGAUCCGUGUAUGACACUCUGGUUACAAGCUGUGCCCUUUAUCCGUACGACGUGGACUCAACACAAAACUUCAUAGCCCGGCCAGCCUUUUGUGAAUGUUACUACGGAGAAACGAUGGAAUAAAACUCUCACAGGGAAUAUUUACACCGUGUAUACGCCAUGGGUCCGUGGAGUGGAUUAUGCAUUUUAUUGCAGGAAGAUGCAUCGUGAAUUUCCCAAGAGAUGACGCGCACUCAAGGUGCGAAAAGUCUUGCUGAUGCCUCCAGUGAAUCUUGAUUCUCGGCUGCCAGCAGAAAACAGGAGGCAGUGAUUUACGCUCAGCCACGCCAGUGGAUAUUAAGGGGUUGGCGUGCAGGUCGGUCAUGUCGUAAGUCGUGGUGCGCUCAUUACUUAGCGCUAGUGUCAGCUCGUGAUUGAUGUCCUACUUACCCCGAGUUAUCGAGCAAAUGCUGCCGCCACUCCUGGUGGCAGUCUGAAGAACCCUGGCACGACCCCUGCGGCAGGCGGUGUUGUCGGGUCACGGGGAUUAGAGGUGACUCCCUUAGCCACCACCAGGACGAGCCACCUCUGACUCCUCCACGAAGAACCAUCCACCCCCGUACCCCAAACACGGCAACCCUGCUAAUUCAAUCCGUGCACCCCCCUGGGGAUUUCGCGGACGGGGAUGCGGUUCAGCCCCGGUGCAAAAGGGGGAUGAGAUUCUGCUACGGUAUUGAGGGUCGAGAACUAUCAAGUUGGGACGGGACAGCAGCUGCACCCUGUCCGACGUGUUCGACGCUGGAUAAACUGAUCGUUUUCUUGUCCACAUCGUUCUCCCACGUGUCAGGGGUGGUUUCGACUUCGGCUAGACAUAAAUAAUCCAAAGAACUGUCCCGUUGGAUUUCUUGGAUAAAGACUCACUCGACCACCAAUCCAUACCGAACAUCCUCCAUGUCUUAUAAAAUCAAAUCACAUAUCCACUUCAUCUUUAUACCCUUCGUAGAACCUGAUCAUCAUUGCAGUCACAAAAAAAAUCUAAAACGCUAACAUAUUCAAAUAUUUUCAAUUCACGUUUUAUUGUAUAUUCCAAUAUCAGUAAUGCCAAUAAUUCAACAAAUUCAUUUCUAUUUGUACCAUUCAUUCGCAGGAGCCAACAUUAUAGAUACAAAUAUGCAGAGAUUUGUCGCAUGCUAAAAUUGUAGCAGUCGGUACAGCAGAUCCCUAUAUAAACUACUAGGUGAUGUCUGGCGACGCGAGGAUAGUAGGUGGUAGGCAGAGGACGUAUGGCAUCGCGAUGCUCUGACAGCUUGUCGAGGAGAAGCGAGGCGUACUCACUCCGACAGACGUUUUCUCAUUUUCUCUAUUUACGUUGCCGACGACGUGAGCGGAUAAUGUCUCUUCGCCCCAUCGCCAAGUCGUUAUAUAUAUAGGGUCUAGUAACACGGAACGUCACUACCACGUUCCCAUAAAACCUCACCGUCAACCUCGACGCAGUCGUCGCGACGCAACCUUUACAAUAUAUCUACGGCACCACUCGCUGAAUGUAUCUGUAUAUCAGUCGACGUCACGUCUCGUUUGUCGGCCUGCGGCACCACGACGUGACGGCUUCCCUCGGCUGCGCCGACAAACGAAAAGCACGCAUGGCCGACCCUCGCGCGAACUCUUAAUCCGUUUUUACGUAACACUAUUACCGGUUAAUACUUGUGUAGCGGGUAAGUCAUACGCUAUUAGGAAUUACGUGACAGUUAACAAUGUCGACGUAGAUGGCGCGAGCGUCGUCGUACUUGCAAUUAGUCAGUAAGAGAUCUGAAUAACGAAUACGAUAGUCAAGAGAAUGACCAUCAUGUUUCUUUAUAUGUAUUUUUAUAUAUAAAAUAUUUAAAAAAAGAAGGAUAUUUUUCAAACAUAUAUAAAGUUCAAUUUUAAUGUACGAUUUCAAUUUACGUUUAUAAUCCGGACACAUGACUUACGUCGUUACGCGUUAUGGCUACCCAGUGCUAUGGCGGACCGGUAUUACUACUUUUUGAAAGACACACGUAACUUAUAUUGAAAAUGGCAGGACGUGGAACUUACGACAGGAAUGGAACAGCCUGCGUCAUCUCCGAUGAGUCUCUACUCCGUAAAGGCGGACACGUGGACACGUAGGACAGUUGACGAGGAAAGGGAGAUAUCCCCGAGCAUGGGGCCCGUAUAUUGUUUUUAGACGGUAAUGUGGCCGGACGGCUGUCAGGAGAGAAAUCCGCUGUUAAAAAUGUGAAACGCGCUCUUGGAUCCGACGGCUUCUCUAACGAGGAUGUACCGCGGCUGUCUGCUCUCCCGCUGUGGUUGUCCGUUCCGAAUAAUUUUAAUUCCCUUCGAGUCUCCUGACCAUUCGUAAUGUGAGGUAUAUUUUGCAUAUUACAUUUCGCUAUUUGACUAGUUUUCUUUUUCGCAUGCAAUUUUUUUAAAGAAUUUUUAAAAACGUAAUUAACAAAUUUUUUUACAACAAAUCAAAUAUACCGAAUGGAAUUUGUGUCUGGGAUAUAAAAAAUGGUUGAAAGUUCAAACGUGACGACGGAAUAAACUUGUCGAUUGACACAAUGGUAUCCUUUUGCUUAUGUGACGUAACAUGCCGCAGGCAAUUUUUAAUAAUUUUCAAUCGAUCGACCGGUUUCUCAUUCCGCAGCUGUCAAUUGCACAUUGUCAGAAAUGACGAGCACCUGCUCGCCCCGAGCUCAAUGCAGAACGAGCUAUUCUAGGGUUGGCAGGUACAGAGAGAGAGAGAGAGACACAGUCAGAGGGUGCAGUACAGGAGGGAAGGAGGAUAAUCAAAAGAUAGAAAAGUGCUUUUGAAUUUUUAUAAUAAUGGAAUAUCAAGAGGUAGAAAAAUCGUCUCUAACCUUACAUGGUUAACGCCUCCUGAAUCAACCCCUAUGAUUGAGAUUUUGCUCAUCGAACAACGCCUAGUCACCGAAAAAUCGAUCAAAUCGUCACGAAUUAUUGAUAAAAUCAAUAAUAAUUAUUUCCAAACAAUUCAGACGUCCUUUCCAAAAUAAAUUUGUCCGGCGAUGCUCAUAUGACGUAUUGACGUUAUUCUCUUCCGUCUGUCAAUCAAUCUACAACGCAGUCCACAUUCAAGCGUCGGGACGUGGUAUAACCCAUGAAACGAGGCGUCGCGACGAAUUUCUAAGCAGCUAAACCCACAGAGGUCAACCUAUAUUUGAACAAACGAUUGGAAUCGUGUCACGGUAUUUUGAAAAAUUACGUCUCUGUAAUUAUUCAGCAUACCGGGUCCCUAGGAGGAUACCAGAACCUGUCACGCAAACGUGACGUUUAUUGAUGAAGCGUCCAAGAACCAAUAGAAAUCCCACGAGGUCACCAUAAGACAGAUUUCGUCCGAUAAAAUAAUCCACCUAUUGCGCGAUGAGGAGAAAAAUAAUAAUCCAAUCCGCUGACCGAAUGUUAUAUACGUUUUAGUCUUAAUCAAUUCUAUAAUUAUUUUAUUAGAAAUGUCACGUGGUUCUAACUAAUGAAAUACGAGUUGUGAGAUAUAAUUUGAAUAGCAAUUAUACACGUAUCAAUUAUCAUUUCUUUCAUUAUAAUAAUGUGAACCUAAUUGACUGGAGUACCGCAGGUGCUGAAAUAUCUGGAUUCAGAUGGUAUAAUACGUACAAAGAAGAGCAGCAAUCACUUAUCUAUUCCGGGUGACGUAUAUGACUUGAAUUGAUGGGGCCACAUCAAGUACGAAAGUGUUAAUGCUCUAUCCAAUAUUAUUUCUAACUUGAUAGACGCGGGUUAUUUAAAACUAUUAUUACCAAAUUCGGAGA